UCGCGCGGAAGCCUGCCCCAGAGUUGGCCGAUUCCCAUUCUCCGCAAGGAGUGUCUGUCGACCCCCCAGGCUCGUCUCGAUAUCCGCACGACACGUCGCAGCACGGGGCCAGCCGGGUCUGAUGUGUCUGCCGCGCGUGGCACCGUCGUGCGAGAUUGGCCAGGUCCACCGGCUCAUGGGACCUGCCUGGGGGAAUGGUGUUUCGGAACUUAACCCUAACCUAGCACUUGGUUCGAGUGUUGCGCUCACAGUCGUCCAAGCCUGACCUUGUAAGCCUACGAGUGCGCUGUGUGCUGCGCUCGCUGAAAAGUGGAGUGUGCUAAACAGGCAUCCUGCGGUGGAAGGGCAGCCGGACAUUCCAGUCGCCUUUCGUGCGAGCGAGAGCCCUUGCUAUGAGUCGUCUGGUAAGAACUCCUGGCCUGGAGUCGCUCGUCAGCCUGGGCUGCUGGAACCCGUACUCUGGUCGCCCAAGAUCGUGUCGGUGGUGUUGCGUUGUGCUCACAGCUGGAAGAUGGACCUUUGGUUGUUAGCCGCUUACUGGAGGGCUCUCGUCUUCAUGACCGAGUCUCGUGCUCCCGAGGAUCCAAGGGAAGAACUCGUUGCUGGCUACACACGGACCGCAAGUCCUGGUUUCGCUUAUCUUUGCCUGCGACUUGUCUUCGCCAGAAUCACCAGGCCCCUCGUGGGGCUGGUGAGCGAAGCUCGCUCGGCUACCACAGAAACCACGCUGCUUGCUGGUCAUCUCUCUCUGCCGCAUCUCACGUUCUCGGUACCCUUGGUCCUUUUGUCACACUAGCAACCCGCGGCCGCUGGUGUCAAAGCCAGUGACGGCAAUACGCCUUAGACUCCAUCCACUUCAGUCAAAGCACUCUGCAACCUCCGAUGCCGUGUUUCGGCCACCGCCAUCAACACGUCGGAAACAGAGAUCAGACCAGGCGCAUUAACUACUCAUCGUGUCACGAUGCCAGUAGACGCCACAGCCCUCUCCGUCUGGUCUUCUGAUCAGCGGUGACCUUGCCCGUCUUGGCCAUGACAAUGGUCGGGAAUGGAGGAAAGUCCGGAUUUUAUGGAUGUAUUUUGACCGGCCGACAAUGCCCUCGUUGCUACACCCUCGUGUGUCCGAUCGAGCGGAAUCAAAAACCAGUCCUUGCUGGCAGCGCGUGCAACAGAGAGAGCUGGCGUCUAUCUACCAGGAUGCGAAAAGAACGUUUCGAACCUGCCGACUUCCAGAUGCUGACACCUUUGAGGACGUUCGGCGACUUACUUGAGGAGGCAACUGUCCUUGUGAGGUGUAUGUUAGGUGGCCCGAGACGGAGGCGCUGUUUGUUGCACGAAGCUAGGUUGGGACCCAUCUCGAGUUGGUGUCAAAGUUUCGUGCUUGUCCGGCCUUU
rnacentral:telomerase_RNA from 1 species